rnacentral:rRNA from 1 species
UACGGAGGGAGCUAGCGUUGUUCGGAAUUACUGGGCGUAAAGCGCACGUAGGCGGCUUUGUAAGUUAGAGGUGAAAGCCCGGGGCUCAACUCCGGAACUGCCUUUAAGACUGCAUCGCUUGAAUCCAGGAGAGGUGAGUGGAAUUCCGAGUGUAGAGGUGAAAUUCGUAGAUAUUCGGAGGAACACCAGAAGCGAAGGCGGCUCACUGGCCCGAUACUGACGCUGAGGCGCGAAAGCGUGGGGAGCAAACAGG